AUGCCGCUGCUAUUGCUUCUUCUUGUCAGCUUGUCUGUAGGUUCUUGUGUGGGUGACCAUCAUCAGCUCCUCAACUUCAUGACAGUGAAAACAAGCUCCCUAAAGCAUAUCGCAGAAGGCGCCGUCUGCUCCGGACACAAGGUGACAAUGCCGUCCGGCGACGGUGUCAGGUGGGUACCGAUGAACCGCCCGCACGGCCCAUGCUCGUCGGCGGCGGCGACUACGGUCGUCGACGGCAUGCUCCUGUGGGACCAGCUACGCACCAGCUCAAUCCGGAGGAAGCUCUCCGGCGGCAGGGCCGGCGAUGGCCUGCCGGUCAUCCACUCCCGUGAAGCCAAAACUAGCAACAUCGACAGCAGUAUGACUGCGAAAAGCACGCUGGGGGGCAGCGGCGGGACAAGCUCCACGACAAUGGAAAGGACCAGCGAACACUUGUACUCCAAGGUGAGCCAAACGGUGGUGGUGGACACGAGCAGCGACAUUCCGUGGGUGCAGUGCCUCCCGUGCCCCGCCCCGCAGUGUCACCUCCAGAAGGACCAACUCUACGACCCCGCCAACUCCAGCACGUACGCACCUAUCCCCUGCGGCUCCCCUGCCUGCACGGAGCUCGGUAGCAGCCACAGCAGUGGCUGCUCCGCCGGCUCCGACCAAUGCAAGUACAUCCUCGACUACGGCGACGGCAGGGCCACCGCCGGGACAUACGUCACCGACACGCUGACCUUGUCGCCCACCAUCGCGGUCAAGGGCUUCCGGUUCGGGUGCAGCCACGCCGUGAGGGGCACCUUCAGUGACCAGACCGCCGGCGUCCUGGCCCUCGGCGGUGGCGCUGGGUCCCUCCUUGCGCAGACCGCGGAGACCUUCGGCAACGCCUUCUCCUACUGCGUCCCGCACCCGAGCUCCGAUGGAUUCCUCUCGCUGGGCGGGCCGGUGGGGAACUCGUCGCAGUUCACGAGCACGCCUCUGAUCAAGAACCAACACGCUCCGACGUUCUACAUCGUCCGCCUGGAGGCAAUCACCGUGGCCGGGAGGCGGCUCGACGUGCCGCCGGCUACGUUCGCCGGUGGUGCGGUGAUGGACUCAGGGGCGGUCGUCACGCAGCUGCCACCGUCGGCAUACGCAGCGCUGCGGGCAGCGUUCAGGAGCGCCAUGACGGCGUAUGGCCCGCUUGCGGAUCCCGUACGCAACCUUGACACGUGCUAUGACUUGACCCGCUUCCCCGAGGUCAAUGUCCCCAAGGUGUCCCUAGUGUUCGCAGGCGGUGCCACCUUGGAGCUCGAGCCGGCGUCCAUCAUGCUGGACGGCUGCCUGGCUUUCACGGCCUCCCCUGGCGGCCACGGCUCCAUCGGAUUCAUCGGCAACGUGCAGCAGCAGACCUACGAGGUUUUGUACGACGUCGGCAGCGGGAGCGUGGGAUUCCGCAGUGGCGCGUGCUGA
rnacentral:rRNA from 1 species